GGCGAAACGCUGGCGGCGCGCUCUAACACAUGCAAGUCGAAACGAGAGAUGAGGAGCUUCGCUCUUCAAAUCGAGCGGCGAACGGGUGAGUAACGCGUGAGGAACCUGCCUCAAAGAGGGGGACAACAGUUGGAAACGACUGCUAAUACCGCAUAAGCCCACGGCUCGGCAUCGAGCAGAGGGAAAAGGAGCAAUCCGCUUUGAGAUGGCCUCGCGUCCGAUUAGCUAGUUGGUGAGGUAAUGGCCCACCAAGGCGACGAUCGGUAGCCGGACUGAGAGGUUGAACGGCCACAUUGGGACUGAGACACGGCCCAGACUCCUACGGGAGGCAGCAGUGGGGAAUAUUGCACAAUGGGGGAAACCCUGAUGCAGCGACGCCGCGUGGAGGAAGAAGGUCUUCGGAUUGUAAACUCCUGUUGUUGAGGAAGAUAAUGACGGUACUCAACAAGGAAGUGACGGCUAACUACGUGCCAGCAGCCGCGGUAAAACGUAGAUCACAAGCGUUGUCCGGAAUUACUGGGUGUAAAGGGAGCGCAGGCGGGAGAACAAGUUGGAAGUGAAAUCCAUGGGCUCAACCCAUGAACUGCUUUCAAAACUGUUUUUCUUGAGUAGUGCAGAGGUAGGCGGAAUUCCCGGUGUAGCGGUGGAAUGCGUAGAUAUCGGGAGGAACACCAGUGGCGAAGGCGGCCUACUGGGCACCAACUGACGCUGAGGCUCGAAAGUGUGGGUAGCAAACAGGAUUAGAUACCCUGGUAGUCCACACCGUAAACGAUGAUUACUAGGUGUUGGAGGAUUGACCCCUUCAGUGCCGCAGUUAACACAAUAAGUAAUCCACCUGGGGAGUACGACCGCAAGGUUGAAACUCAAAGGAAUUGACGGGGGCCCGCACAAGCAGUGGAGUAUGUGGUUUAAUUCGACGCAACGCGAAGAACCUUACCAAAUCUUGACAUCCCUCUGACCGGCGAGUAAUGUCGCCUUUCCUUCGGGACAGAGGAGACAGGUGGUGCAUGGUUGUCGUCAGCUCGUGUCGUGAGAUGUUGGGUUAAGUCCCGCAACGAGCGCAACCCUUAUCUUUAGUAGCCAGCAGUAAGAUGGGCACUCUGGAGAGACUGCCGGGGAUAACCCGGAGGAAGGUGGGGAUGACGUCAAAUCAUCAUGCCCCUUAUGACCAGGGCUACACACGUGCUACAAUGGCGUAAACAAAGAGAAGCGAAGUCGUGAGGCAGAGCGAAUCUCAAAAAUAACGUCUCAGUUCGGAUUGUAGUCUGCAACUCGACUACAUGAAGCUGGAAUCGCUAGUAAUCGCAGAUCAGAAUGCUGCGGUGAAUACGUUCCCGGGUCU
rnacentral:rRNA from 1 species